rnacentral:rRNA from 1 species
CCUACGGGUGGCAGCAGUGAGGAAUAUUGGUCAAUGGACGGAAGUCUGAACCAGCCAUGCCGCGUGCAGGAAGACUGCCCUAUGGGUUGUAAACCUCUUUUGUCAGGGAGCAACGCCGGCUACGUGUAGCCGGACUGAGAGUACCUGAAGAAAAAGCAUCGGCUAACUCCGUGCCAGCAGCCGCGGUAAUACGGAGGAUGCGAGCUUUAUCCGGAUUUAUUGGGUUUAAAGGGUGCGUAGGCGGAAUGCCAAGUCAGCGGUAAAAUCGCGGGGCUCAACCUCGCUCCGCCGUUGAAACUGGCGUUCUUGAGUGGGCUAGAAGUAUGCGGAAUGCGUGGUGUAGCGGUGAAAUGCAUAGAUAUCACGCAGAACUCCGAUUGCGAAGGCAGCAUACCGGCGCCCAACUGACGCUGAAGCACGAAAGCGUGGGUAUCGAACAGGAGUAGAUACCCGAGUAGUC